rnacentral:rRNA from 1 species
AGACCCGAAACCCGGUGAUCUAGCCAUGGGCAGGUUGAAGGUUGGGUAACACUAACUGGAGGACCGAACCGACUAAUGUUGAAAAAUUAGCGGAUGACCUGUGGCUGGGGGUGAAAGGCCAAUCAAACCGGGAGAUAGCUGGUUCUCCCCGAAAGCUAUUUAGGUAGCGCCUCGUGAAUUCAUCUCCGGGGGUAGAGCACUGUUUCGGCUAGGGGGCCAUCCCGGCUUACCAACCCGAUGCAAACUGCGAAUACCGGAGAAUGUUAUCACGGGAGACACACGGCGGGUGCUAACGUCCGUCGUGAAGAGGGAAACAACCCAGACCGCCAGCUAAGGUCCCAAAGUCAUGGUUAAGUGGGAAACGAUGUGGGAAGGCCCAGACAGCCAGGAUGUUGGCUUAGAAGCAGCCAUCAUUUAAAGAAAGCGUAAUAGCUCACUGGUCGAGUCGGCCUGCGCGGAAGAUGUAACGGGGCUAAACCAUGCACCGAAGCUGCGGCAGCGACGCUGAUGCGUUGUUGGGUAGGGGAGCGUUCUGUAAGCCUGCGAAGGUGUGUCG